rnacentral:rRNA from 1 species
AACGAACGCUGGCGGCAGGCUUAACACAUGCAAGUCGAACGCAUCCUUCGGGGUGAGUGGCAGACGGGUGAGUAACGCGUGGGAAUCUACCCUGAUCUGCGGGAUAGCUCCGGGAAACUGGAAUUAAUACCGCAUAUGUCCUGAGGGACAAAGAUUCAUCGGUUCAGGAUGAGCCCGCGUCCGAUUAGCUAGCUGGUGGGGUAAAGGCAUACCAAGGCGACGAUCGGUAGCUAGUCUAAGAGAAUGAUCAGCCACAUUGGGACUGAGACACGGCACAAACUACUACGGGAGGCAGCAGUGGGGAAUAUUGGACAAGGGGCGCAAGCCUGGUCCAGCCAUGCCGCGUGAGUGAUGAAGGUCUUAGGAUGGUAAAGCUCUUUCACCGGGGACGAUAAUGACGGUACCCGGAGAAGAAGCCCCGGCUAACUUCGUGCCAGCCGCCGCAGUAA